rnacentral:tRNA from 1 species
AAAAAUUUAGUUAAAAUAUAACAUUAACUUGUCAAGUUAAAAUAAUUAAUUAACUUAAUAAUUUUUA